ACGUAGGGGGCAAGCGUUAUCCGGAUUUACUGGGUGUAAAGGGAGCGCAGACGGCACUGCAAGUCUGAAGUGAAAGCCCGGGGCUCAACCCCGGGACUGCUUUGGAAACUGUAGAGCUAGAGUGCUGGAGAGGCAAGCGGAAUUCCUAGUGUAGCGGUGAAAUGCGUAGAUAUUAGGAAGAACACCAGUGGCGAAGGCGGCUUGCUGGACAGUAACUGACGUUCAGGCUCGAAAGCGUGGGGAGCAAACAG
rnacentral:rRNA from 2 species